GACGAACGCUGGCGGCGUGCUUAACACAUGCAAGUCGAGCGGUAAGGCCUUCGGGUACACGAGCGGCGAACGGGUGAGUAACACGUGGGUGAUCUGCCUCGUACUUCGGGAUAAGCCUGGGAAACUGGGUCUAAUACCGGAUAGGACCUUCCACUGCAGGGGGGUUGGUGGAAAGAUUUAUCGGUACGAGAUGGGCCCGCGGCCUAUCAGCUUGUUGGUGGGGUAAUGGCCUACCAAGGCGACGACGGGUAGCCGACCUGAGCGGGUGACCGGCCACACUGGGACUGAGACACGGACCAGACUCCUACGGGAGGCAGCAGUGGGGAAUAUUGCACAAUGGGCGGAAGCCUGAUGCAGCGACGCCGCGUGCGGGAUGACGGCCUUCGGGUUGUAAACCGCUUUCGACAGGGACGAAGGGUGACUGACGGUACCUGUAGAAGAAGGACCGGCCAACUACGUGCCAGCCGCCGCGGUAAAAC
rnacentral:rRNA from 1 species